AAGGGAAAGGCUUAGUGGCGGACGGGUGAGUAACGCGUGGGUAACCUGGCCCAUACAGGGGGAUAACACUUAGAAAUAGGUGCUAAUACCGCAUAACAACAGAAAGCGCAUGCUUUUUGUUUGAAAACCAAGGUGGUAUGGGAUGGACCCGCGUCUGAUUAGCUGGUUGGCGGGGUAAAGGCCCACCAAGGCGACGAUCAGUAGCCGGCCUGAGAGGGUGGACGGCCACAUUGGGACUGAGACACGGCCCAAACUCCUACGGGAGGCAGCAGUGGGGAAUAUUGCACAAUGGGGGAAACCCUGAUGCAGCGACGCCGCGUGAGUGAAGAAGUAAUUCGUUAUGUAAAGCUCUAUCAGCAGGGAAGAAAAUGACGGUACCUGAGUAAGAAGCCCCGGCUAACUACGUGCCAGCAGCCGCGGUAAUACGUAGGGGGCAAGCGUUAUCCGGAUUUACUGGGUGUAAAGGGAGCGUAGACGGCAGUGCAAGUCUGGAGUGAAAGGCGGGGGCUCAACCCCCGGACUGCUCUGGAAACUGUACGGCUGGAGUGCAGGAGAGGUAAGUGGAAUUCCUAGUGUAGCGGUGAAAUGCGUAGAUAUUAGGAGGAACACCAGUGGCGAAGGCGGCUUACUGGACUGUAACUGACGUUGAGGCUCGAAAGUGUGGGGAGCAAACAGGAUUAGAUACCCUGGUAGU
rnacentral:rRNA from 1 species